rnacentral:rRNA from 1 species
GACGAACCGAGCGAACGUUAUUCGGAAUCACUGGGCUUAAAGGGCGCGUAGGCGGGCCGUCAAGUCAGGGGUGAAAGCCCCCAGCUCAACUGGGGAAGUGCCUUUGAUACUGACGGCCUCGAGGGAGAUAGGGGCGUGCGGAACUUCCGGUGGAGCGGUGAAAUGCGUAGAUAUCGGAAGGAACAUCAGUGGCGAAAGCGGCUUCCUGGUCCAGCACCGACGUUCAGGCACGAAAGCGUGGGGAGCAAACAGG